rnacentral:rRNA from 1 species
GUUUGAUCCUGGCUCAGAUUGAACGCUGGCGGCGUGCUUAACACAUGCAAGUCGAGCGGUAGCAGGCGUAGCAAUACGUGCUGACGAGCGGCGAACGGGUGAGUAAUGCUUAGGAAUCUUCCUCGUAGUGGGGAAUAACUUGGGGAAACUCAAGCUAAUACCGCAUACGAACUACGGUUGAAAGCGGGGGAUCGCAAGACCUCGCGCUAUGAGAUGAGCCUAAGUCGGAUUAGCUAGUUGGUGGGGUAAUGGCCUACCAAGGCGACGAUCCGUAGCUGGUCUGAGAGGACGACCAGCCACACUGGGACUGAGACACGGCCCAGACUCCUACGGGAGGCAGCAGUGGGGAAUAUUGGACAAUGGGCGCAAGCCUGAUCCAGCGACGCCGCGUGUGUGAAGAAGGCCUGCGGGUUGUAAAGCACUUUUAGUGGGGAUGAAAAGCCGAAGGCUAAUACCUUUCGGUCUUGACCUAACCCAAAGAAAAAGCACCGGCUAACUCUGUG